CCCGCUUCGCUCACUGGCGCGUGGGGCCCAGUAAGGUGGAGCCCACGUGGCAGCGGGUGUGGAACGAGUCAAACCUCCUCCUCCUCUGCUUCUGCUUUUCGCCUCGGCCUACGCGUCCAUGCAGAGACGCAGUUGUUUGUUUAUCUGAAAGGGAGAUAGGGAGACCUCGAUGGAUGCAGAUACGAGAUGCGGGAGAGAAUAUUUUUUUCAUCUGAUGAUUCUGGAAAAGAAACAGAAAGGUGAAUAUUGCUUUCUACGUGUUCUCUUUAGAACAGGUACAAUAGUAGACUAUAAGCCAGCUAUAAGCAUAUUUUAAAGGAGAGAAGAGCAACGAGCUAUAGAUUUAUAACCAACUGUAGCACGGACUUCAAGAUGUAUGUGUGUAUGACACGUGAAACCAGAUAUUAAUUGUGUGGUAUAGUAUAUUUAUAGGUUAAUAUUGUAUGAAUUGACUAUAAAUAAUUUGUAACCAGUAGUUGGCUAUACUAUUAGUUCUAAAAUAUAACGGUACUCGAUUAGAUACCACUACUACAAAUCUUUAUAUGGAUAGUGUUUAAUUGAGGGAAUAGUUUAACUUCUAAAGUUAUAUGCAUUGUAUUAAUUUUAGCUAUAAUGUUAUUAUAUGUUAGUAUGUUAGACUUUCCUCAAUACUCCUAGAAGCUAACAAUAAAUAUAAAAGCAAAUCUCAAAGACCAGAAGACCUCGUUCCUUGACAGCUUCACGUGUGGUGCAGUGAGGACUCCCAACGCCUGAAGCUCCAAUAGGAAAUGGGCAUGCGUGGAUGGGGUGCGUUGGGCGAAAGCUUUGCAUGGUUGAAAGACGGGCCGACGGCAGUGAUAUCCCUCAAGCCUCUUCUUUAUCCCUGAAGGCAUCAUUUUUUGCACGACAUGUUCCUCUCCACACUAGAGCUCUGGGUGAAAACCCUAUUUCGGUAUGCGAUGGUGGCAUCAUUCAACGUCACUCCCCUCCUUGAACGCAUCAUCAUUCUGCCAAAAAACAUGGUUGUCCCCUAGCACCAUGACUCCCAGUGCCUUCCUCCCUCUCUAAUUCCAAGUUUGAGGCUCUUCUCGUCAUUGACUCAGCUGACAUCAGUCUGCUACAUCAUUUACUUUCAUUCCCUAUAGUCAAAUUGAUGCCUAUGCCUACAUGCGUCUGUGCAUGGUUGAAGUCAAUAUAGUCGUCGUUCUUAGCUUUGCUUCAAUCAUCAUCGCCUUGAUCCAUCAUAUACCCUGAGUAUGUCGUUGCCUUGUCUCUCGCUUUAAACCCGCUCUCUUGGCAUGCUCGUUGAUCGACAACGUAGGUUUGCAUGUUGGUUAAGAGCCAAGCCUUUUUUCCGGUGGUCGUUAUGAUUUUCUAAACCAUGCUUUUCUCUAUCGCUGCUAUUGAUGCUUCCUCUACCAGUGCAAUGGUUGCCUUUCCCCAUUUCACUUUAGACUACUCCUAGUUUCGUCUUCACCCUCUUCGUUUGGGUGUCCUUGACCGCAACGUUGAGCUGCCCUCCACUAUGGGGCCUCCUUCUCCUCAAGAGCGUUGGAGGAUGUUGACUUGGUUGGCAAUUUGUUAAAACCUAAUUGAAGAUGACUUAAUAUGCGUGGCAGUGGAUCUUCCUUCUUCGGGGCUUUCUUCCCUAAAAGGUUGCUGCAACCAUUGAUCUAGAUAGCAAUUAGGUAAAGUCAUUCUUGAUAGCUUAUUGAUGCAGAUGACCUUAGACAACCACAACCUCUUAUCGCAGGAAAUUGAGCCAGUGCAUGUGGCAGAAGGCCCUUCGACAAUUUUCAAUUUUGUGUGCUUCAUGUUUGCAUGUGAAGUGGAUGCUUGGAAAGAAAGAGGAGUCGUUUGGAAGUUUGGAUAUACAUGUUCUGGUGGGUGGAAACUUUAAGCACCUCCUCUUUCUUUGUGUUUUCUCUUCCCAGUAUUCCCGUGUAAUCUCAUAUAAGGCCUUAUUUAGUUCGUGAAAAGAAAAUUUUUGGGUGUCACAUCGGAUGUUUGA